rnacentral:rRNA from 1 species
AUUGAACGCUGGCGGCAUGCCUUACACAUGCAAGUCGAGCGGCAGCGGGGGAGAAGCUUGCUUUUCCUGCCGGCGAGUGGCGAACGGGUGAGUAAUACAUCGGAACGUGCCCUGUAGUGGGGGAUAACUAGUCGAAAGAUUAGCUAAUACCGCAUACGACCUGAGGGUGAAAGUGGGGGACCGCAAGGCCUCAUGCUAUAGGAGCGGCCGAUGUCUGAUUAGCGAGUUGGUGGGGUAAAGGCCUACCAAGGCGAUGAUCAGUAGCUGGUCUGGGAGGACGAUCAGCCGGACUGGGACUGAGAAACGGCCCAGACUCCUACGGGAGGCAGCAGUGGGGAAUUUUGGACAAUGGGCGAAAGCCUGUUCCAGCAAUGCCGCGUGUGUGAAGAAGGCCUUCGGGUUGUAAAGCACUUUUGUCCGGAAAGAAAUGGCUCUGGUUAAUACCUGGGGUCGAUGACGGUACCGGAAGAAUAAGGACCGGCUAACUACGUGCCAGCCGCCGCCGUAA